AUGAAUGGGGACAAUAAUCAUCUUUCACGUGUUUUAAUUCUCUUCUCAGGUUUGUUAUGGUUUAUUGUACUUCCCGUGGGUUUAGCAGCACUCUUAAUAACUGUUGUAAUCAUCAGAAGGAAGAAAGUUAAAGGAAAAGAAACACAGCUGGAUGGCAACACUGGACUGAGCUUAAACCCUGCAGAGACUCAGUCUGGACCAGGAACCAAUCAAUCCUGGGCUGGAGCUGAUGAUGGUGUUUCCUACGUCUCCAUCAGCUUCACCAAGAGGGCCAAGAACAAAGCCCGGUCCCGUGGUCAUGAUGAAGGUGACACUGUGACCUACAGCACUGUGAAAGCUUUCUCCUCUUCUGCUGGAGAUGAUCCCAACCACCUCUAUUCCACCAUCAGUGAUGUAAAGAAGUAGGAUGUUGCUCAUGAAAGGAGAUAUGUUAGAUGCUGUUUCACUUUUUAGAUGAGAGAGUGAAUGUGAAAAGUCAUGUGUUACUUUCAUGUCUGACGUGUGUUUUGUUUUGAACUGAUAACAUUAAUUGUUCUCUUAAGCGAACACACAUAGCUCUAUUUCUUCUUCUUCUUUUAUUUUUAUAAAUUCACUAUGAAAAUCACGAGGGCUACAUGUAUAAUAAGCAAAUUUAAAAUAUUAAAACAAGUGUUUUGUAAAGUCACUGAUAGAGCUGAGUCCAUCUCAAGCGGUGGGAAACGUA
rnacentral:lncRNA from 1 species